rnacentral:tRNA from 1 species
GCUUAGUGGUACAGUGCAUGCUUUGCAUGCUUGAGGUCCUGGGUUCAAUCCCCAG